rnacentral:rRNA from 1 species
GUAGAAGAUACGGUUUCCCCUUUGGGGCGGGUUCACAGGUGGUGCAUGGUUGUCGUCAGCUCGUGUCGUGAGAUGUUGGGUUAAGUCCCGCAACGAGCGCAACCCUCGUUCCAUGUUGCCAGCACGUAAUGGUGGGGACUCAUGGGAGACUGCCGGGGUCAACUCGGAGGAAGGUGAGGACGACGUCAAAUCAUCAUGCCCCUUAUGUCUUGGGCUUCACGCAUGCUACAAUGGCCGGUACAAUGGGUUGCGAUACUGUGAGGUGGAGCUAAUCCCAAAAAGCCGGUCUCAGUUCGGAUUGGGGUCUGCAACUCGACCCCAUGAAGUCGGAGUCGCUAGUAAUCGCAGAUCAGCAACGCUGCGGUGAAUACGUUCCCGGGCCUUGUACACACCGCCCGUCAAGUCACGAAAGUUGGUAACACCCGAAGCCGGUGGCCUAACCCUUGUGGGGGGAGCCGUCGAAGGUGGGACCAGCGAUUGGGACUUU